rnacentral:pre_miRNA from 1 species
AGUUAAUAUUUUUAUUCAUUUUUUAGUGUUAAAAACUGGUAUGGCUGGCAGAAUAAUUAGAUAAUUACACGUGAUGUGUUACAUGUACCUCGAUGAUGUACAAGAACUAGUUUUUAACAGAAUUAAAAGAAAAUUUAAUA